CAGUCGCCGCGGUAAUACAGAGGGUGCGAGCGUUAAUCGGAUUUACUGGGCGUAAAGCGUGCGUAGGCGGCUUCUUAAGUCGGAUGUGAAAUCCCUGAGCUUAACUUAGGAAUUGCAUUCGAUACUGGGAAGCUAGAGUAUGGGAGAGGAUGGUAGAAUUCCAGGUGUAGCAGUGAAAUGCGUAGAGAUCGGAAGGAACAUCUGUGGCGAAGGCGACUAUCUGGGCCAACACUGACGCUGAGGCACGAAAGCGUGGGGAUCGAACAGGAUUAGAUACCCGGGUAGUCCCUGUCUCUUAUAC
rnacentral:rRNA from 1 species